UACGGAGGAUCCGAGCGUUAUCCGGAUUUAUUGGGUUUAAAGGGUGCGUAGGCGGAAUGUAAGUCAGUGGUGAAAUCCUGCAGCUUAACUGUAGAAUAGCCGUUGAAACUGUGUUUCUUGAGUACAUUUGAGGUAGGCGGAAUGUGGUGUGUAGCGGUGAAAUGCAUAGAUAUACCACAGAACACCGAUUGCGAAGGCAGCUUACUAAACUGUCACUGACGCUGAUGCACGAAAGCGUGGGGAGCAAACAGGAUUAGA
rnacentral:rRNA from 1 species